GAUGAACGCUGGCGGCGUGCCUAAUACAUGCAAGUCGAGCGAACGGACGAGAAGCUUGCUUCUCUGAUGUUAGCGGCGGACGGGUGAGUAACACGUGGAUAACCCACCUAUAAGACUGGGAUAACUUCGGGAAACCGGAGCUAAUACCGGAUAAUAUUUUGAACCGCAUGGUUCAAAAGUGAAAGACGGUCUUGCUGUCACUUAUAGAUGGAUCCGCGCUGCAUUAGCUAGUUGGUAAGGUAACGGCUUACCAAGGCAACGAUGCAUAGCCGACCUGAGAGGGUGAUCGGCCACACUGGAACUGAGACACGGUCCAGACUCCUACGGGAGGCAGCAGUAGGGAAUCUUCCGCAAAGGGCGAAAGCCUGACGGAGCAACGCCGCGUGAGUGAUGAAGGUCUUCGGAUCGUAAAACUCUGUUAUUAGGGAAGAACAUAUGUGUAAGUAACUGUGCACAUCUUGACGGUACCUAAUCAGAAAGCCACGGCUAACUACGUG
rnacentral:rRNA from 1 species